rnacentral:tRNA from 1 species
GCCGGCGUAGCUCAGGUGGCAGAGCAGCUGAUUCGUAAUCAGCAGGUCGCGGGUUCAAGUCCCAUCGCCGGCUCCA